rnacentral:lncRNA from 1 species
UUAUGGUGUGGUGUUUUUUUAUUAAGAUCUGUUUUUUUUAUAAUGGUCUAAUUUAUUUCAGCUCUAUAUGUGAGUAGCGAGGUGGUUAUUUAAUAACAGUGUUUUUGUUUUUGGUUUCUGAUUGCUCCCUCCUAAUUUGAGAAUUGUUUUAUCGUGUAUGUUUUUUUUUCUUAUUUAUGAACACUUCUUUUAUUUGGUAUUGUUUGAUGUAACUUCAUCUUCUUAUUUUAUUAAUAUAUUUACUCUUCCAUUAAAAAAUUAUGCUAAAUGACAAUAUGUUGAUAAAGAUUUAUGUGUAUAUAAUGUAGCUAUGCACA